GUAGUUAGCCGGGGCUUCCUCACAAGGUACCGUCACUUCUUCGUCCCUUGCGACAGAGGUUUACAACCCGAAAGCCUUCUUCCCUCACGCGGCGUUGCUGGGUCAGGCUUGCGCCCAUUGCCCAAUAUUCCCCACUGCUGCCUCCCGUAGGAGUCUGGACCGUGUCUCAGUUCCAGUGUGGCCGAUCAGCCUCUCAGCUCGGCUACCCAUCGUCGGCAUGGUGGGCCUUUACCCCGCCAUCUACCUAAUGGGACGCGAACCCCUCCUAAAGCGAUAAAUCUUUGACCCCUCUGCCAUGCGACAGUGUGGUCUUAUGCGGUAUUAGCAUCAAUUUCUCGAUGUUGUCCCCCACUUUAGGUCAGGUUGUUCACGCGUUACUCACCCGUUCGCCACUAAGCUAUCAAACCGAAUCCAAUAGCUCCGUUCGACUUGCAUGUGUUAGGCACGCCGCCAGCGUUCGUCCUAAGCCAGGAUCAAACUCUGA
rnacentral:rRNA from 1 species